rnacentral:rRNA from 1 species
UGCAUUCAGUUGCCAACGGUAAGGCCGGGCACUCUGGAUGGACUGCCGGCGGACAAGCCGGAGGAAGUGGGGAGUGACGUCAAGUCAUCAUGGCCCUUAUGUCCAGGGCGACACACGUGCUACAAUGGCCGGCACAGCGGGAAGCGAGGGGGCGACCUUGAGCGGAUCCCUCAAAGCCGGUCUCAGUUCGGAUUGCAGUCUGCAACUCGACUGCAUGAAGUUGGAAUCGCUAGUAAUCGUGGAUCAGCCAAGCCGCGGUGAAUACGUUCCCGGGCCUU